rnacentral:rRNA from 1 species
CCUACGUGAGGCAGCAGUGAGGAAUAUUGGUCAAUGGGCGCGAGCCUGAACCAGCCAAGUAGCGUGAAGGAUGACUGCCCUACGGGUUGUAAACUUCUUUUAUAAAGGAAUAAAGUGAGGCAAGUGUGCCUUUUUGUAUGUACUUUAUGAAUAAGGAUCGGCUAACUCCGUGCCAGCAGCCGCGGUAAUACGGAGGAUCCGAGCGUUAUCCGGAUUUAUUGGGUUUAAAGGGAGCGUAGAUGGGUUGUUACGUCAGUUGUGAAAGUUUGCGGAUCAACCGUAAAAUUGCAAUUGAUACUGGCAGUCUUGAGUACAGUUGAGGUAGGCGGAAUUCGUGGUGUAGCGGUGAAAUGCUUAGAUAUCACGAAGAACUCCGAUUGCGAAGGCAGCUUACUAAACUGCCACUGACAUUGAUGCUCGAAAGUGUGGGUAUCAAACAGGAUUAGAUACCCGAGUAGUC